AUUGAACGCUGGCGGCAGGCUUAACACAUGCAAGUCGGACGAGCGGCGGACGGGUGAGUAAUGUCUGGGAAUCUGGCUUAUGGAGGGGGAUAACUACGGGAAACUGUAGCUAAUACCGCGUCCCAUCGGAUGACCCCAUAUGGGAUUAGGUAGUUGGUGAGGUAAAGGCUCACCAAGGCGACGAUCCCUAGCUGGUCUGAGAGGAUGACCAGCCACACUGGGACUGAGAAACGGCCCAGAUUCCGACGGGAGGCAGCAGUGGGGAAGAUUGCGCAAUGGGGGCAACCUGACGCAGCCAUGCCGCGUGAAUGAAGAAGGCCUGCGGGUUGUAAAGUUCUUUCGGUAGGGAGGCGUUAACUACAGAAGAAGCACCGGCUAACUCCGUGCCAGCAGCCGCGGUAAUAC
rnacentral:rRNA from 1 species